rnacentral:rRNA from 1 species
UUAGACCUGCUUCCUUACUGAUGUGCGGCUAUCAGCUAGUUGGUGAGGGUAUGGCCCACCAAGGCUAUGACGUGUAGUUAUGCUGAGAGGUAGAAUAACCACAAUGGGACUGAGACACGGCCCAUACUCCUACGGGAGGCAGCAGUAGGGAAUUUUUCACAAUGGACGAAAGUCUGAUGGAGCAAUGCCGCGUGAACGAUGAAGGUCUUUUUAGAUUGUAAAGUUCUUUUAUUUGGGAAGAACAGUUAAUAGAGUGGAAAGCUAUUAAUUUGACUGUACCAUUUGGAAUAAGUAACAA